GCCGCAAAUGGCGAGCCCGUGCGAGAGCUCGAAGGAGGCCUCCUCUGGCCUCGCGUCCAUGGCGGCGCUCCGGCGGCUCGCCGCCGUAUCCUCCCAUCUCCAUCCCCCGGCCCAAGAACCAGGGAUCUCCGUCGUGCCCGCUGUUGCCUCCUCGAGGAGCUCGGGAGGCAAUGGUUGCGUCUUUUGUGAGAUUAUCCGUGGUGAAUCCCCUGCUUUCAAGUUGUAUGAAGAUGAUAUAUGCCUAUGCAUUUUGGAUUCCAACCCUUUGACUUUUGGGCACUCUCUUAUCAUCACAAAGUCUCAUUUUUCUUCUUUACAAGUGACUCCUCCUUCUGUGGUAGCAGCCAUGUGUUCCACUGUACCAACCCUUGGUAAUGCAAUCAUGAAAGCUACUCAUUGCAAAUCAUUCAAUCUUGUUGUCAAUAAUGGAUCUGCUGCUGGACAAGUAAUAUUUCAUACUCAUCUGCACAUAAUUCCUCGUAAAGCAGGUGAUCAGUUAUGGCCUUCUGAGAGCUUUAGACGACAGUCCUUGGAACAAAACUCGGAAACCUUUGUUCUAGUAAAAUCCAUCAAGGAACAACUCUCCUCUGCCGAUGAAUCUACACCUGCAAACAACUCAGAAGAUUAAUGGUUGCUUAGUGAAUUCUACAUACACUAGCAUUUACCUUUGUUUAUAAUAUAUACACUCUUUAUGUGCGCCAAUGUCCAGAACUUGCUGCUGAAAAGUGCAGAGGAUGAUAACACCAAGUUGGUUCACAACUCAGGUUGGAGAUUCAAUUGGAUCAAUGCGAAAAAACCAUUAGUUCGAGAAAUGCAACAAAUUUCAGCUUAUGGGUUGGGAUUCAAGAACUAGGGUUUGUUGUACAUUUAUUUUAUUUUAUUUUUAUCUCUAAAUAUCAAAGUAUAGGAUGCAGAGUCUUCAAGGUCAAAAAGGCGAAAAUCCGAAACCUUGUUAAGAGUUCCUCUUUACAUGAUUAUUGUAAACAGAUGCACUUUUACAAACCAAGGGAUUAAAUAAAACAUGAUUAGCAUUCCCAGA